rnacentral:rRNA from 1 species
AGUGAACGCUGGCGGUAGGCCUAACACAUGCAAGUCGAACGGCAGCACAGUAAGAGCUUGCUCUUACGGGUGGCGAGUGGCGGACGGGUGAGGAAUACAUCGGAAUCUACUCUUUCGUGGGGGAUAACGUAGGGAAACUUACGCUAAUACCGCAUACGACCUACGGGUGAAAGCAGUGGAUCUUCGGACCUUGCGCGAUUGAAUGAGCCGAUGUCGGAUUAGCUAGUUGGCGGGGUAAAGGCCCACCAAGGCGACGAUACGUAGCUGGUCUGAGAGGAUGAUAGGCCACAUUGGAGCUGAGACACGCACAAGACUACUACGGGAGGGAGCAGUGGCGAAUAUUAGGCAAUGGGCGCGAGCCUGAUCCAGCCAUACGGCGUGGGUGAAGAAGACCUUCAGGUUGUGAAGACCUUUUGUUGGGAAAAAAAAGCAGCAGGUUAAUACCCCGCUGUUCUGACGGUACCCAAAGAAGAAGCACCGGCUAACUUCGUG